UAGGGAAUCUUCCACAAUGGGCGAAAGCCUGAUGGAGCAACGCCGCGUGUGUGAUGAAGGCUUUCGGUCGUAAAGCACUGUUGUAUGGGAAGAACAGCUAGAAUAGGAAAUGAUUUUAGUUUGACGGUACCAUACCAGAAAGGGACGGCUAAAUGCGUGCCAG
rnacentral:rRNA from 1 species